rnacentral:lncRNA from 1 species
UCUAGUGGAAUGUUGAUGAACUACAUGAUAAGAAUGGUUAUCUAGGGUUAGUAACAAAACGUACCAUAAUAGCACAAAUUUUAUUCUUACAUUUGUACAUAUCACUCUUUUUCAGUGCCUUGUAGUCCCACUAAUGUAUCCGUGUUCAUGGACUGCUCCAACAAUUCUGCUUUGGUGUCCUGGUCUGCCAGUCGUGGCGCUGUGAAGUACUCUGUGAACGCCAUCAGCAGUCACGGCAAUGACAGCUGUCAGACAUCUGGUCUUGCCUGUCGUCUCAGCCUUGCAUGUGGCAGCCUUUACACUGUUCAGGUUGUUGCCAUGGAUGACAACUGCUCAAGUUUUCCCAGCACUCCUGUGGAGUUCACCUCAGGUGGGAGAUUUGACUCCACUUGACAGGAUAGCAACACUCCAUCAGUUGAUUAAAUCAUUAUAUUUUAUGUUUUCAGGUCCCUGUCCACCUAGUAAUGUGAGUGCCCAAAUUACAUGUCAGUCAAGCAAUAUGAAUGUUUACUGGAACGCCAUCAGAGAUGCCGACCACUUUUUAGUAUCAUUAACUUCUGUGAAUAGAACUAUUCAGUUAUGCAACACCACAACUACUACAUGCUUCAUCAGCAAUGCAACAUGUGGAGAAACAUUUACCAUCCAAGUCACCUCCGUGAGAGGCAAAUGUCUCAGUCAGCCCCAUCAAACCUCCACCAUCCAGACAGCUCCCUGCCAGCCUAAAGGAGUAAAUGGCUACAUUGACUGUGUAUCGAACUCGGCUUGGAUCACGUGGGACACUGCUCUCGGAGCGAGCAACUAUACAGUGUCAGCUGUAGGUUCAGGGAUCUCCAAAACCAACUGCACUUCCAUCACAGACACGAGAUGUGAGGUGAAGGACCUAGCCUGUGGUGUAUCGUUCAACUUCACAGUUACUGCUACAAACAGCAGGUGUGACAGUCAACCAAGUGCUCCUUUCAGCUUGGAAACAGGUAUUUACAAUCUAAAGUUUAUUUGUGAAAUAUUUGUUCGUGCAGCCGAGUGA